rnacentral:rRNA from 1 species
AUUGAACGCUGGCGGCAGGCCUAACACAUGCAAGUCGAGCGAGCGGCGGACGGGUGAGUAAUGUAUGGGGACUGCCCGAUAGAGGGGGAUAACUACUGGAAACGGUGGCUAAUACCGCAUACUAUCGGAUAACCCAUAUGGGUUUAGCUAGUAGGUGGGGUAAAGGCUAACCUAGGCGACGAUCUCUAGCUGGUCUGAGAGGAUGAUCAGCCACACUGGGACUGAGACCCGGCCCAGACUCCUCCGGAGGCAGCAGUGGGGAAUAUGGCACAAUGGGCUAAAGCCUGAUGCAGACAGGCGGGGUGUAUGAAGAAGGCCUUAGGGUUGUAAAGUCCUUUAAGCGGGGAGGCGUUACCCGCAGAAGAAGCACCGGCUAACUCCGUGCCAGCCGCCGCGGUAAUAC